GGAACCUCCAUAACAGAAUGUAUGACAUCUUUUUCAGUAGGGUUUUUCUGCUUGCAACUAGGUGAUUUCUGCGUUCUAUUAUCUGCUGAAAUUGAAAAUUCGCUCGAUUCAGCUUGUUCCGAAAAUAGGUGAGUUUCUUCUUUCACUACCUGAAUUCCAAUACCCAUGUUGUAUUUUCUCUGUAAAACUAUUCUCCAUAGGAGAAAUGGAUACUCAAUUACAGCUCAAAACCCAUCAAUACCAUUAUCAUCAUUCCUUAGAUACUUGUCUAGCGAUGCAAAUCAACUCUCGUUUACUGUUUCUUACCUCAUAAACACAUGUGGGUUGUCCCCGGAAUCCGCUUUGUCGACUUCUAAAUAUUGUCGACUUAAGACUCCAGAGAAGUCUGACUUAGUCCUAUCCAUUUUCAAGAACCUUGGAUUUAAAAAACACCAGAUCUCUUACAUUAUCGUAAGGUGGCCACUUAUGCUGUUAUCCAAACCCGAGAGAACUAUUAUCCCAAAAUUUGAGUUUUUUCGCUCUAAAGGUGCUUCAAACUCUGAUCUUGUAAGAAUCUUCGGUUGCUGCCCUUGGGUCUUUAAAAGGAGUUUAGAAAAGCACUUGGUUCCUUCUUUUAAUUUCUUUAGAGAUUUGCUCAAAUCUGACGAGAAAACCCUUGCAGCCAUUAAACGUUGUCCUUCUAUUUUGCUUCGUCGUCUUGAAGAUCAGGUGAUACCUGCUAUCGAUAUUUUGCGAGAAAACGGAGUGCCUGAAGCAAAUAUUUUGCACUUGAUUCAUUAUCACCCUUUGAAGCUUCAAACGAAUCCGGAUAAAUUUAAGAAGGCUGUGGAUGAAGUGAGAGAGAUGGGAUUCCGUCCUUCGAAGUUGCAUUUUGUUAUAGCAGUCAUGGUAUUGGCAGGAUUGAGAAAAUCCAAAUGGGAAAGUAAGGUUGAUGCUUAUAAGAGGUGGGGUUGGUCUAACGAAGAUGUUAUUACAGCUUUUGGAAAAUAUCCACUUUGUAUGACAAUUUCGGAGGAUAAGAUUAUGGCAGUAAUGGAUUUCUAUGUUAACAAAUUGGGUUUAGACUCUUCUGUCAUUGCCAAUCGACCGGUGCUGCUUUCACUAAGUUUGAAGAAAAGGCUUGUUCCAAGAGGUUCACUUAUUCAAUUUAUGUCAUCAAAAGGUUUGGUUAAAAUAGAUUCUCAUAUUACUGUACUUUGUGAGCGUCCAGAGAAAUUUUUUAUGGAAAAGUUCGUGAAUCGUUACAAGGAAGCUCCUCAGUUGUUGAAACUAUACAAUGAGUUGAAACAGCAAGGUGAGCAACAACAAGAAAUAAAGAGAUGAAGCUGCUUUUUAACUGAUUUGAUGUGCAUAAUUCAUCAUAGUUAAGGACUUACAUCGGCUCCACUUGCAGGUUACAGUGUAACUAAUUCAAGUUUUGAAAUGUAAUUGCAACUUUGCUUUCGUUUUUUAUGUUGUUCUGGAGUGAAAAUUCAAGAGGCCUUAACUUCUUAAUAAAGUGCCAUAACUUCUUAGCAAAGUAAACCAGAUCUUUUGUUCAAUAGCAGUAUGACUGGCAUAUGCAAUAGGUUCUGUUCUUGCUAACUUGGUUAGUUUUGGUUCAUUUUUUAAGUCCAUUUUGCUUUCUUGGUGUUAUUGUUUUUGUCUUUUUAUUAUAAUAUCCA
rnacentral:misc_RNA from 1 species